rnacentral:rRNA from 1 species
UACGUAUGGUGCAAGCGUUAUCCGGAUUUACUGGGCGUAAAGGGAGCGCAGGCGGUGCGCCAAGUCUGAUGUGAAACCCCGGGGCUCAACCCCGGGCAUGCAUUGGAAAAUGGCGGGCUGGAGUGCCGGAGAGGUAAGCGGAAUUCCUAGUGUAGCGGUGAAAUGCGUAGAUAUUAGGAGGAACACCAGUGGCGAAGGCGGCUUACUGGACGGCAACUGACGCUGAGGCUCGAAAGCGUGGGGAGCAAACAGG